rnacentral:rRNA from 1 species
UCGAGCGAGAAGCCACCUUCGGGUGGUGGGAAGCGGCGGACGGGUGAGUAAGGCGUGGGAAUAUGCCCUUUGGUACGGAAUAGCCCUUGGAAACGAGGCGUAAUACCGUAUGUGCCCUACGGGGGAAAGAUUUAUCGCCAAAGGAUUAGCCCACGUUGGAUUAGCUAGUUGGUGAGGUAAAGGCUCACCAAGGCAACGAUCUAUAGCUGGUUUGAGAGGAUGAUCAGCCACACUGGGACUGAGACACGGCCCAGACUCCUACGGGAGGCAGCAGUGGGGAAUAUUAGACAAUGGGCGCAAGCCUGAUCUAGCCAUGCCGCGUGAGUGAAGAAGGCCCUAGGGUUGUAAAGCUCUUUCAGAUGUGAGGAUGAUGACAGUAACAUCAGAAGAAGCCCCGGCUAACUUCGUGCCAGCAGCCGCGGUAAUACGAAGGGGGCUAGCGUUGUUCGGAAUUACUGGGCGUAAAGGGCGCGUAGGCGGACUGGUCAGUUUGGUGUGAAAGCCCGGGGCUCAACCUCGGAACUGCAUUGAAUACUGCCAGUCUAGAAUCCCGGAGGGGAGUGUGGAAUUUCU